rnacentral:rRNA from 1 species
GCGGGCUAUCAGCUAGUUGGUGAGAUAACAGCCCACCAAGGCAACGAUCAGUAGCCGACCUGAGAGGGUGAUCGGCCACAUUGGGACUGAGACACGGCCCAAACUCCUACGGGAGGCAGCAGUGGGGAAUAUUGCACAAUGGGCGAAAGCCUGAUGCAGCAACGCCGCGUGAAGGAAGAAGGGUUUCGGCUCGUAAACUUCUAUCAACAGGGACGAAAAAAAUGACGGUACCUGAAUAAGAAGCCCCGGCUAACUACGUGCCAGCAGCCGCGGUAAUACGUAGGGGGCAAGCGUUAUCCGGAAUUACUGGGUGUAAAGGGAGAGUAGGCGGCAUGGUAAGUUAGAUGUGAAAGCCCGAGGCUUAACCUCGGGAUUGCAUUUAAAACUAUCAAGCUAGAGUACAGGAGAGGUAAGUGGAAUUCCUAGUGUAGCGGUGAAAUGCGUAGAUAUUAGGAAGAACACCAGUGGCGAAGGCGACUUACUGGACUGAAACUGACGCUGAGGCUCGAAAGCGUGGGGAGCGAACAGGAUUAGAUACCCUGGUAGUCCACGCCGUAAACGAUGAGUGCUAGGUGUCGGGGGGGAACCCUCGGUGCCGCAGCUAACGCAAUAAGCACUCCACCUGGGGAGUACGAUCGCAAGAUUGAAACUCAAAGGAAUUGACGGGGGCCCGCACAAGCGGUGGAGCAUGUGGUUUAAUUCGAAGCAACGCGAAGAACCUUACCAAGGCUUGACAUCCCUCUGACCGGUGUAGAGAUACACCUUCUCUUCGGAGCAGAGGUGACAGGUGGUGCGUGGUUGUCGUCAGCUCGUGUCGUGAGAUGUUGGGUUAAGUCCCGCAACGAGCGCAACCCCUAUUCUUAGUAGCCAUCAUUCAGUUGGGCACUCUAGGGAGACUGCCGUGGAUAACACGGAGGAAGGUGGGGAUGACGUCAAAUCAUCAUGCCCCUUAUGUCUUGGGCUACACACGUGCUACAAUGGCUGGUAACAAAGUGACGCAAAACGGCGACGUCGAGCAAAUCACAAAAACCCAGUCCCAGUUCGGAUUGUAGUCUGCAACUCGACUACAUGAAGCUGGAAUCGCUAGUAAUCGCGAAUCAGAAUGUCGCGGUGAGUACGUUCCCGGGCCUUGUACACACCGCCCGUCACACCAUGGGAGUUGGAAGCACCCGAAGUCGGUGACCUGACCGUAAGGAAGGAGCCGCCGAAGGUGAAGCCAGCGACUGGGGGUGAA